rnacentral:rRNA from 1 species
CCAAGGAGUCUAGCGUGUGCGCGAGUCAUUGGGAUAACACUAAACCUAAAGGCGCAAUGAAAGUAAAAGUUCGCCUAGCGCGAACCGAGGGAAGACGGUCGGUCUCUCAAGGAUCGGCCCGCAUUCCCGGGGCGUCUCGUUCUCAUUGCGAGAAGAGGCGCACCAAGAGCGUACACGCUGGGACCCGAAAGAUGGUGAACUAUGCCUGGUCAGGACGAAGUCAGGGGAAACCCUGAUGGAGGUCCGUAGCGAUUCUGACGUGCAAAUCGAUCGUCGGAACUGGGUAUAGGGGCGAAAGACUAAUCGAACCAUC